rnacentral:lncRNA from 1 species
AAAAUUCUCAAAAUGUCAAUCAACAUAGAAUUGUUGUAAACUAAACAUUUAACUUUUGAGUUUUUAUGAUCAAGUAACAAAAAAAAGUGUUGAAAAAACAUGUGGGCCCUUUGGCCCAAUAGAAAGUUACCUAUAUUGUUGUCUCACGUUGCGGGAAUAAAAAUGUAAUUUUUGAUACUCAUCGGAACAGUUUUUCUAGUUUCCCUAACUGUCCGCCACGUGUCACUCAGCAACACAGUCGUUAAAGUUUUGCCACGUGUGGCAAUCUCAGUUUCAUCUCAAUCCGAAUUGUUGUUCUUCC